rnacentral:rRNA from 1 species
CCUACGGUGGACAGCAGUGGGGAAUAUUGCACAAUGUGGGAAACCCUGAUGCAGCGACGCCGCGUGAGCGAUGAAGGAUUUCGGAAUGUAAAGCUCUAUCGUCAGGGAAGAAAAUGACGGUACCUGACGAAUAAGCACCGGCUAACUACGUGCCAGCAGCCGCGGUAAUACGGAGGGUGCAAGCGUUAUCCGGAUUUACUGGGCGUAAAGGGAGCGUAGGCGGGUUAGCAAGUCAGAUGUGAAAGGCUGUGGCUUAACCAUAGGACUGCAUUUGAAACUGUCAUGCUAGAGUGUGGGAGAGGUAGGUGGAAUUCUUGGUGUAGCGGUGAAAUGCGUAGAGAUCAAGAGGAACACUCAUGGCGAAGGCGGCCUGCUAGAAGAUGACUGACGUUGAGGCGCGAAAGCGUGGGGAGCAAACAGGAUUAGAUACCCUAGUAGUC